rnacentral:other from 1 species
AUUUAUCUGGUGAGUUUGUGAAGUGGGAUUAUAAGAAUUUUGCCAACAUAUUAAAUUGGGGAAUUUAACUUUAAUAAUUCCGAGGAGUUGUUAAGAGGGUUCCCACCUGGUUUUACCAGGCUAUAAAUUCUUGUUUCGCGCACGGCUUGUUGGAAAGGGG